UUGGAGGGCAAGUCUGGUGCCAGCAGCCGCGGUAAUUCCAGCUCCAAUAGCGUAUAUUAAAGUUGUUGCAGUUAAAAAGCUCGUAGUUGAAUUUCGGGGUCAGUAGAUUGGUCAUGCCACUGGUAUGUACUGGUCUCACUGAUUCCUCCUUCCUGAUGAGCCGUAAUGCCAUUAAUUUGGUGUUGCGAGGAAUCUGGACUGUUACUUUGAAAAAAUUAGAGUGUUUAAAGCAGGCUAACGCUUGAAUACAUUAGCAUGGAAUAAUGAAAUAGGACGUUCGAUCUUAUUUUGUUGGUUUCUAAGAUUGACGUAAUGAUUAAUAGGGAUAGUUGGGGGCAUUAGUAUUCAAUUGUCAGAGGUGAAAUUCUUGGAUUUAUUGAAGACUAACUACUGCGAAAGCAUUUGCCAAGGGUGUUUUCAUUAAUCAAGAACGAAAGUUAGGGGAUCGAAGACGAUCAGAUACCGUCGUAGUCUUAACCAUAAACUAUGCCGACUAGGGACCGGAUGAUGUUAAUUUUUUAAUGACUCAUUCGGCGCCUUACGGGAAAC
rnacentral:rRNA from 1 species